rnacentral:pre_miRNA from 1 species
GAAGUACUCCCUUUGUCUCAAAAUUCUUGUCUUAGAUUUGUCUAGAUACGGGUGUAUCUAACACUAAAACGUAACUAGAUACAUCCGUAUUUAGACAAAUAUAAGACAAGAAUUUUGGGACGGAGGGAGUAUAUA